rnacentral:rRNA from 1 species
CCUACGGGUGGCAGCAGUGAGGAAUAUUGGUCAAUGGCCGGAAGGCUGAACCAGCCAAGCCGCGUGAAGGACGAAGGUGCCAAGCAUUGUAAACUUCUUUUGUCAAGGGACAAAAUCAGGCUCGAGAGCCUGACCGAGGGUACUUGAAGAAAAAGCAUCGGCUAACUCCGUGCCAGCAGCCGCGGUAAUACGGAGGAUGCGAGCGUUAUCCGGAUUUAUUGGGUUUAAAGGGUGCGUAGAUGGCAUAGUAAGUCUUUUGUAAAAAUGCUGGGCUCAACCCAGUAGGGCAAAAGAUACUGCAAAGCUAGAGUAUGACAGAGGCAAGUGGAACUACAUGUGUAGCGGUAAAAUGCGUAAAUAUAUGUAAGAACACCAGUGGCGAAGGCGGCUUGCUGGGUCGAUACUGACAUUGAGGCACGAAAGCGUGGGGAGCAAACAGGAUUAGAUACCCUAGUAGUC